rnacentral:rRNA from 1 species
GAUGAACGCUGGCGGCGUGCCUAAUACAUGCCAGUCGAGCGAACGGACGAGAAGCUUGCUUCUCUGAUGUUAGCGGCGGACGGGUGAGUAACACGUGGAUAACCUACCUAUAAGACUGGGAUAACUUCGGGAAACCGGAGCUAAUACCGGAUGAUAUUUUGAACCGCAUGGUUCAAAAGUGAAAGACGGUCUUGCUGUCACUUAUAGAUGGAUCCGCGCUGCAUUAGCUAGUUGGUAAAGUAACGGCUUACCAAGGCAACGAUGCAUAGCCGACCUGAGAGGGUGAUCGGCCACACUGGAACUGAGACACGGUCCAGACUCCUACGGGAGGCAGCAGUAGGGAAUCUUCCGCAAUGGGCGAAAGCCUGACGGAGCAACGCCGCGUGAGUGAUGAAGGUCUUCGGAUCGUAAAACUCUGUUAUUAGGGAAGAACAUAUGUGUAAGUAACUGUGCACAUCUUGACGGUACCUAAUCAGAAAGCCACGGCUAACUACGUG